rnacentral:rRNA from 1 species
GUCCACGCCGUAAACGAUGAGUGUUAGGUGCUGUGGGUAUUGACCCCCGCGGUGCCGUAGCUAACGCGUUAAACACUCCGCCUGGGGAGUACGGCCGCAAGGCUAAAACUCAAAAGGAAUUGACGGGGGCCCGCACAAGCGGUGGAGCAUGUGGUUCAAUUCGACGCAACGCGCAGAACCUUACCUGGGUUAAAUCCAUACGAACCUUGCAGAGAUGCAGGGGUGCUCUUCGGAGAAUGUAUGAGAAGGUGCUGCAUGGCUGUCGU